UACGAAGGGGACUAGCGUUGUUCGGAUUUACUGGGCGUAAAGCGUGCGCAGGCGGUUUGCUAAGACAGGUGUGAAAUCCCCGGGCUUAACCUGGGAACUGCGCUUGUAACUGGCAAGCUAGAGUGUGGCAGAGGGGGGUGGAAUUCCACGUGUAGCAGUGAAAUGCGUAGAGAUGUGGAGGAACACCGGUGGCGAAGGCAGCCCCCUGGGCUAACACUGACGCUCAUGCACGAAAGCGUGGGGAGCAAACAGG
rnacentral:rRNA from 1 species